UACGGAGGAUGCAAGCGUUAUCCGGAUUUAUUGGGUUUAAAGGGUGCGUAGGCGGAAUGAUAAGUCAGUGGUGAAAGCCUGCAGCUUAACUGCAGAACUGCCAUUGAUACUGUCAGUCUUGAGUAUAUUUGAUGUGGGCGGAAUGUGUCAUGUAGCGGUGAAAUGCUUAGAUAUGACACAGAACACCGAUUGCGAAGGCAGCUCACAAAACUAUAACUGACGCUGAGGCACGAAAGCGUGGGGAUCAAACAGG
rnacentral:rRNA from 1 species